UGGCGGACGGGUGAGAAACACGUGGGUAACCUGCCUCAUAGAGGGGAAUAGCCUUUCGAAAGGAAGAUUAAUACCGCAUAAGAUUGUAGUACCGCAUGGUACAGCAAUUAAAGGAGUAAUCCGCUAUGAGAUGGACCCGCGUCGCAUUAGCUAGUUGGUGAGGUAACGGCUCACCAAGGCGACGAUGCGUAGCCGACCUGAGAGGGUGAUCGGCCACAUUGGGACUGAGACACGGCCCAGACUCCUACGGGAGGCUGCAGUGGGGAAUAUUGCACAAUGGGGGAAACCCUGAUGCAGCAACGCCGCGUGAGUGAUGACGGUCUUCGGAUUGUAAAGCUCUGUCUUCAGGGACGAUAAUGACGGUACCUGAGGAGGAAGCCACGGCUAACUACGUGCCAGCAGCCGCGGUAAU
rnacentral:rRNA from 1 species